GUGCAUCAGCUCCCGAUAUUACACUAAUGAUAUUUAUUAUCGUAGCAGGGUCUCCUGUGUACGGUACGUUGGGCGGGCGCAUAAGAGUUAUCUGAUAGCUGAUGGUAUUUUCAACGAAGUGAACUGUUGUUCCCGGGACUGGAAUGUAUCUCCCUUCCUGAAUACUUACACUAGUGUUUAUGUCUUAUUUCCUCAGCCUGGAGAUGGCUCGGAUCUGCUGGUUUUCUGUGUGCAUUUGCUAUUUGGUCGACCAACUGACUUACAGGGGAGUUCCAUCGUUCGACGCCUCAAGAAAGUCAGUUACAUGUUGAUCUCCACCCGCCGUUAGUGGCUUGUAGCGGCGUCUCAAAUGCCGCUGGUCUUAUCUAAAACUUUCAAUUUAGGAGCAAGCUUGUCUUCUGUCAGCAGAAGACAAAACUUAAGUAUCGAUAAUGGAAUAUUCGAGUAUUUG
rnacentral:sRNA from 2 species